CGCCCGCCGCGCGCGGCGGGCCUACGGGAGGCAGCAGUGGGGAAUCUUCCGCAAUGGACGAAAGUCUGACGGAGCAACGCCGCGUGAGUGAAGAAGGUUUUCGGAUCGUAAAGCUCUGUUGUUUGAGACGAACGUGCAAUUUUUGAAUAAGGAAUUGUAAUGACGGUAUUAAACGAGAAAGCCACGGCUAACUACGUGCCAGCAGCCGCGGUAAUA
rnacentral:rRNA from 1 species